rnacentral:rRNA from 1 species
AUUGAACGCUGGCGGCAGGCCUAACACAUGCAAGUCGAGCGAGCGGCGGACGGGUGAGUAAUGUAUGGGGAUCUGCCCGAUAGAGGGGGAUAACUACUGGCAAAGGUAGCUAAUACCGCAUACUAUUGGAGCGGCCGAUAGCGUAUUAGCUAGUUGGGGGGGGAAAGGCUCACCAAGGCAACGAUCCGUAGCUGGUUUGAGAGGAAGACCGGCCACACUGGGACGUAGACACGGCCCAGACUCCUACGGGAGGCAGCAGUGGGGAAUUUUGGACAAGGGGGGAAACCCUGAUCCAGCCAUCCCGCGUGUAUGAGAAGGCCUUCGGGUUGUAAAGUACUUUUGGCAGAUAAGCGGUAUCUGCAGAAUAAGCACCGGCUAACUACGUGCCAGCAGCCGCGGUAAUUC